CAGCCGCCACGGUAAAACGUAGGGUGCAAGCGUUAAUCGGAAUUACUGGGCGUAAAGCGUGCGCAGGCGGUUCUAUAAGACAGAUGUGAAAUCCCCGGGCUCAACCUGGGAACUGCAUUUGUGACUGUAGAGCUGGAGUGCGGCAGAGGGGGAUGGAAUUCCGCGUGUAGCAGUGAAAUGCGUAGAUAUGCGGAGGAACACCGAUGGCGAAGGCAAUCCCCUGGGCCUGCACUGACGCUCAUGCACGAAAGCGUGGGGAGCAAACAGGAUUAGAUACCCCUGUAGUUCCUGUCUCUUAUAC
rnacentral:rRNA from 1 species